UCAAUGCACUCCUUUGUGGCACACUGAAAGAUGUGUAUUGUUGUUACUCUGGUGCCGGAUGCAGCAUGGAAUGUAGCAAUGCUUCGUAUUUGUUCUGUCUCUCUUCCAGUGGACUCCAUCUCUUGAUGCUCUAGGGAUUAGACAAGCAGAUCCAUUGUACAUCACUAUAGAACAUUGAGUCCUAGUGACAUAAGCAGAUGGAAUAUUCUUCCACCACAAGAUUUUGAGUUCUCAGAGUUCCAGAUAUGUACAUACCCACUUCCCUUGCCUGUUUCAAUAAUGGGCGAUCCUGAGUCAGCAACUCUAUCGAUCUGAACUCAGGUUUCUUACUUGGAAGAUCAUUUCCAAGUGACAGCAUAAAGUGAAUGAGCCAAAGUAUAGGUACGUCAAAACAUCAGACACAUACGAGCUAGGUGAGUUCCCAAGAAUUUGAUGCUUGCUGAAUCACAAGAUCUGACUAUGAAAAUCUUCCAUAAUGUCUUAAAAGGAGUCAAGUCCCAGUGGCUUUUAUAGUUGUCCAGGUUCUUCCUGGCGAAAAAAUGUCUAGAUGCCUUUCCUGAAACUGAGGAAGAGCCACUGUAGAAGCCUUCUCUAGGGGCCCCUGCUACUGAAAGAGGAGAGGAAAUAGAGUGGUGACUCUCAGGGAAUAGGGCUGCCAGCAAACAGGACCUGCCAUGAGGAGAAGAACCAGCCCAUGGGUGAGAAGCAUCCAAGGAGAGCUGCAAUCUGGGCAGCAUUUACAGGGAAGAAGA